AUUGACCUCGGAUCAGGUAGGGAUACCCGCUGAACUUAAGCAUAUCAAUAAGCGGAGGAAAAGAAACCAACAGGGAUUGCCUUAGUAACGGCGAGUGAAGCGGCAACAGCUCAAAUUUGAAAUCUGGCUCCUCCGGGGUCCGAGUUGUAAUUUGUAGAGAGUGCUUCGGGGGAGACUGCGGUCUAAGUCCAUUGGAACAUGGUGUCAUAGAGGGUGAGAAUCCCGUAUGUGACCGCGGAUCGAACCCAUGUGAAGCCUCUUCGACGAGUCGAGUUGUUUGGGAAUGCAGCUCAAAAUGGGUGGUAAAUUUCAUCUAAAGCUAAAUACUGGCUGGAGACCGAUAGCGCACAAGUAGAGUGAUCGAAAGAUGAAAAGCACUUUGGAAAGAGAGUUAAACAGUACGUGAAAUUGUUGAAA
rnacentral:rRNA from 3 species